rnacentral:rRNA from 1 species
CCUACGGGAGGCUGCAGUGGGGAAUAUUGGACAAUGGGCGAAAGCCUGAUCCAGCCAUGCCGCGUGUGUGAAGAAGGCCUUCGGGUUGUAAAGCACUUUCAGUGGGGAAGAAAGCCUUGGGGCUAAUACCCUCGAGGAAGGACAUCACCCACAGAAUAAGCACCGGCUAACUCCGUGCCAGCAGCCGCGGUAAUACGGAGGGUGCGAGCGUUAAUCGGAAUUACUGGGCGUAAAGCGCGCGUAGGCGGUCUGAUAAGCCGGUUGUGAAAGCCCCGGGCUCAACCUGGGAACGGCAUCCGGAACUGUCAGGCUAGAGUGCAGGAGAGGGAGGUAGAAUUCCCGGUGUAGCGGUGAAAUGCGUAGAGAUCGGGAGGAAUACCAGUGGCGAAGGCGGCCUUCUGGACUGACACUGACGCUGAGGUGCGAAAGCGUGGGUAGCAAACAGGAUUAGAUACCCCAGUAGUC